AAAGCGUGGGUAGCAAACAGGAUUAGAUACCCUGGUAGUCCACGCCGUAAACGAUGUCUACUAGUCGUUGGGUCCCUUGAGGACUUAGUGACGCAGCUAACGCAAUAAGUAGACCGCCUGGGGAGUACGGCCGCAAGGUUAAAACUCAAAUGAAUUGACGGGGGCCCGCACAAGCGGUGGAGCAUGUGGUUUAAUUCGAUGCAACGCGAAGAACCUUACCUGGUCUUGACAUAUCUAGAAUCCUGCAGAGAUGCGGGAGUGCCUUCGGGAAUUAGAAUACAGGUGCUGCAUGGCUGUCGUCAGCUCGUGUCGUGAGAUGUUGGGUUAAGUCCCGCAACGAGCGCAACCCUUGUCCUUAGUUACCAGCGGUUUGGCCGGGAACUCUAAGGAUACUGCCAGUGACAAACUGGAGGAAGGCGGGGACGACGUCAAGUCAUCAUGGCCCUUACGACCAGGGCUACACACGUGCUACAAUGGUAGGUACAGAGGGCAGCUACACAGCGAUGUGAUGCGAAUCUCAAAAAGCCUAUCGUAGUCCAGAUUGGAGUCUGCAACUCGACUCCAUGAAGUAGGAAUCGCUAGUAAUCGCGGAUCAGAAUGCCGCGGUGAAUACGUU
rnacentral:rRNA from 1 species